rnacentral:rRNA from 1 species
GAUUCUGGCUCAGGAUGAACGCUAGCUACAGGCUUAACACAUGCAAGUCGAGGGGCAGCAUGAUCGAAGCUUGCUUUGAUUGAUGGCGACCGGCGCACGGGUGAGUAACGCGUAUCCAACCUUCCCUGUAGUAGAGGAUAGCCCGGCGAAAGUCGGAUUAAUACUCUAUGUUGUAUUUAGAGGACAUCUGAAGAAUACCAAAGGUUUACCGCUAUAGGAUGGGGAUGCGUCUGGUUAGGUUGUUGGCGGGGUAACGGCCCACCAAGCCCACGAUCAGUAGGGGUUCUGAGAGGAAGGUCCCCCACAUUGGAACUGAGACACGGUCCAAACUCCUACGGGAGGCAGCAGUGAGGAAUAUUGGUCAAUGGACGUAAGUCUGAACCAGCCAAGUAGCGUGCAGGAUGACGGCCCUAUGGGUUGUAAACUGCUUUUAUAUAGGGAUAAAGUGCACUACGUGUAGUGUUUUGUAGGUACUAUAUGAAUAAGGACCGGCUAAUUCCGUGCCAGCCGCGGC